GCGCGGAGGCAGCGAUGAGUUAAAGCGGUCAGUUUCUGGGCUGGUUCGGGCACGCAGAGGGGUGCAGACGUGAGAGAGCGCGAGGAGUCAAUGGGGGACACGGGCUGGGAACUGUGGUGCGCUUAGGGGAUUCUCGCCGUGCCUGUACGAGGCUUGUGGUCAACGUCCGCGAUUGCUGGCGUUGUAAUGCGUUCGUGGGGAAGUGGAGUGUUCGUGGGGGUUGAGGUGGUGUUGUAGUAUUAGGGUACAGGGAGGGGGGCUCGACGUGGAGCUGUUUUUUUUCGGGCUUUGGUCGUGUGGGAGAGUGUGGAGCAAAAUGAAGUGGAGCGGCUGAGGGAAGCAGGCCGGGGGCUGUGCGCGGGAGGUUCCUCGCUCUGAGCAGUUAGAACACAACGAAGGAACUUUUACACGUUAGGGUGCGUGUGUGGUACGGUGAGGAGGACCAAAGACCAUAGAAACUGGCGGACUCGCAGCGCAGAGCGGUGGGAGGAAGGCGAUGGGUUUUCCGCGUUUCAGCGCGCAUGCGUGUCACUGCCUGGAGGACCAAACACCAUAGAAAUUGGCGGGCUUGCGGCGCAGAGCGUUCAGAACAGGGAGGUGCGGUGCUUUAUUGGGGGCGGCAGAGCGGGGAAACGGUGCCCUUUCUCUGGGGAUACUCAGAACCUGCGUGGAUGCAGUCCUGUGCAGCGUGUUCCCACAGGUUAUAGCAGAUCCAUCAAGUGAUUACGCAGCCUUUGCCCAGACAGACCUUUUUUCCCCUGAAGUGACCACGUAUUACAAGUUAAUUACAGGCAGUAUUCUCAUGACUAAUUAUUUACCAUCAAAAGACAGGCUUUUUUGAGACCGAACCCCUACUGUCUCAAAGUUAAUAGGAGAAACCUCUUUAAUUAGUCGUUAUUAUCUACGUGGACCGUAUCUGCAUAUAAUUAGACAUCUCAGCACAUCAGUAUAGGCUGUGGGAACAGCCAGCUGUGUUAUUUUGUUAUUAAAAUCUGCUUCUGAGGGAUGUCUGCAGGGAGUUCCCAUAGGACAGGUCCCUUGUGGGUCUUUCUGCUGAGCCUGAGCUAGCAGGGACAGGGAGUUUAGCAAUUAAAUAUAUUUCCCUAUUGGGUCUUCUUGAUGUGAUCCCAUAUAGGAUAUCAGUGUGAUGGGUUAUAAUGCUAAACAUGACACGGUCCUUUUCCCUUCUCUUUUGGCACUGUUCAUAAAGCACAACAGCAUCACAGAGCACCACUGCUGAUUCAGUGUGGCCUUGAUGUGCACCGGCCUUUCCUGUGUGGUGUGAAGAAGAAGCCUGCAAUACCUCAGCUUCCAAGAGAUAAGGCCUCACAUCUUGCACACAGCAUCCAAAUAACCUUUUCAAAAGCAUUACUGGUGGGACACACAUGCAUUUCAGGGCCUAUGGAGAAGAAGCUUGUCAGUUUAUCCAGUCUUUUUCAAUAGGCUCCCAGCUCAGUCUGACAGCAAGCAGUAUUCCCAGUCUUACGGCAAUUAGAGAAGAGAAAUAUCCUUUGUGUUAGCGUUUUUCAUUCUGCUGGCCAGAAAGUUUGUUCCAAGUGUUGAAGACAAAAACAAAGCCUUCAUUGAGGCUAAUGGGGAGAGUGCCUCAUUCAUGACAGAAGGCAAAAAGGAAUUGGGAAGAUAAUAUGACAUUUUGCAGGCAUGCGAGUCUCAUUGAAUAGCAGUGUAAGAGCACUUUUCUGAGCACUAUCCAGCACUAUCCAUAGGAACUGCUCUGCAGUCCGUACACAAAUGUCUGUGCCAAUCUGAAGCAGCUAUUCUGUCAGUAAUUACAAAGUAAACACACAGCUGUGACACAUCCAGAUACCACUGGCUGCAUCCAAGUGUCCAUCGUACAGAAGCACUCUUGAGGCACUCUCAGGCACAGAAGUUUUUUAGUUCCUAAAGGUACUUUUCAUAGGAGGUGUGGAAGAAAUGUGAGAAAGAGGUGUCUUAGAUGAGAGGAGACGACUGGACUAUGUGGAUCAAGGGAGAAGAGUUGAGUUGUGUGUUCUAGAAUACAAAAGUGACUUUGUUGUACAGUUUCAUCGGCCUGAUGAUUCUCUGCUGGAAAUCAGUGGAUGACUCAAAGCAAAGACAAAAGGCAGCCAAGUGUCAGACAGCAAAAGACAACACCGUUUUUCUUUCUUCAUGACAGCUGGGAUGAACAUUUGCAAGAUACGGAUCCAAAUGUUUCUGUACGUAAAACUGUUUGUCACCUGGUGAUCAGCUAUGCCUGUUUGUUACCAUGACCAAACAGUGAGUCCUCAUUUUGAUUCAUCAAGAACUUUGCCCUUUGUUGUGAACUAAAGUACUACUAAAACCUGACAGAGCAAGAACUAAGUUGUUCAAAAGGAUACUGAGUCAUGGUGCAGGAAACACUGAUUAUUAUGCCCAACUUGUUUUCACAUACAUGUGUGCAUGUGCAUAAUAGGUAGAUGUAAGCUCAUUGCUUGCCUUGCAAGGAACUGCUGUAUUUUGUAAGACACAUAGCAAGCAACUUCUCUUAUAUAGCAAGCAUAAUAAGUAAACUUCCCUUUGGUUUCAAUUUC
rnacentral:lncRNA from 1 species